rnacentral:rRNA from 1 species
AACGAACGCUGGCGGCGCGUCUUAAGCAUGCAAGUCGGACGGCAAGGGUAGCAAUACCCCUAGAGUGGCGGACUGGUGAGUAACGCGUGGGUGACCUACCCUCGAGAUGGGGAUAGCCAUUAGAAAUAGUGGAUAAUACCGAAUACGCUCUGGAUGCUCUGGCGACCAGAGGAAAUCAGGCUACGGCCUGGCUCGAGGAUGGGCCCGCGUCCCAUUAGCUAGUUGGUGAGGUAACGGCCCACCAAGGCGACGAUGGGUAUCCGGCCUGAGAGGGUGUACGGACACAUUGGGACUGAGAUACGGCCCAAACUCCUACGGGAGGCAGCAGCUAAGAAUAUUCCGCAAUGGACGAAAGUCUGACGGAGCGACGCCGCGUGGAUGAAGAAGGCCGAAAGGUUGUAAAAUCCUUUUGCUGAUGAAGAAUAAGUGGUGGAGGGAAUGCCAUCAUGAUGACAUUAGUCGGUGAAUAAGCCCCGGCUAACUCCGUGCCAGCAGCCGCAGUAA